AUGGUCCCACGUCGAGCUUCGUGUUUUCUCCACAGCCACAGCAGCACGGUCCCUCGUCGAGCUUCAUGUUUUCUCCACAGCCACAGCAGCACGGUCCCUCGUCCAGCUUCGUGUUUGAGCCAGAGCAGCCGUCACAUCCAGCAGACGGAUAUCAGGCAUCUAUGUCGGCAUCACAUGAUACGUGGGGGAGUGAUCAACAUCCCGAGGAGAACAUACAGGCUCAGAUGUCGCAGCACACCCAGUGGAUGA
rnacentral:rRNA from 1 species